AAAAUAGUCCUCACCAUAGCCCCGCUGCCACCAGAUGGCGCUAUUAUUCUUUACAUAUUUUGUCACCCACAGAGCAGCAUACCUAGGCAACCUUUCAGGCUUAUCUCUGCGCCUUCAGUUCCCUCAGGAGAAGUCUUCCCUCACUCCCCAUCCACCCCCAUGAAACAACACCUCUGAUAAGGGCGUCUAUGGAUGAAGACAUGGAUUUCUCAUGGUAUGGUGGGGUAUGUAAAAUGGGUCACCAUUGAGCACCUUUAUCUAUUAUGUUUGGGCAUUCAUUUCUGACCACUUCUACAAUGGGCAAAUAUGUAUAGAAAGUUUUGUUCAAAUCUAAACGGGUGCAGUCAAAAACUAUUCUCUCUCAAAUAUAUUAUUACCUUGGUUUUUAAAUGACAACUUGGCAAGCAUACACCUGUAAAUUCUACCUAGUGCUACAGCUGUAGGAUCUUAAUUUGAUCACCCUGUUGCAGGAUAACUUUACUGCAAUGCAGGAAAUUGAAAACAUGUAGUGUAUUUGAGGUUUAAAAAGGCUUCCGUUUGUAAUUUACACUUUGACAUUUCACACUUGAUUUUUCCCUUAAGAAAAAUGUAGUAACCCCUACAAAAAUGUCCAUUAUUUAUAAUCCACGUAAUAAUUCACAUUUCCUGUUGCUGCAGGAUUAUUUUCUUUCUGUAACAAAUUGGCUCAAAUUAAGAUCCUACAUAUGUACUAACUAAUAACAUAUAUUAGAUUACUUAAACAGUUGAUUAACCUGUCUUCUGAUAAGCCUGGUGCCUCCAUAACACUCUAUUAACCAGCAUGCAAUUUGGCAAACACCGGAGCUGCAUGGGGUGAAUAAAAGGAUGAGCACGUUUUCAUCUGCUUUUUCUCUAUGCAGGAGUAAUCCAUCAAUCGGGGAAAUGUUCAACAUGAUUUGGUUUUGCAUUGGUAUUCAUUAACCAUUACAGUCAAGGGGGGGGGAUAUCCUGCAGAUGUGAGGAUUGGGUUUCAUAGGGGCAUACUUUUCCUGGGCACCUCCAUGAGACACUGGGGUUUUAAGGGCCACACACACAACAUAACCUUAGCAUGACUUACAUGGAACCUACAAUUCCUGUUUUUGUUUCCAUGCUCAAAGGAGCAGAAGAACUCACAUGUAAAUUCACUGUAGCUUGUAAAAAUCUCGAUUGGACAACAAAUAGGGAAAGGAACAGUCUGUGAAAAUUGUUUUUAGUAGUGUUUGUAUUGCUAAUUUGAUUAAAGUCUUCUAAUGGUGAAUAAAACUU